AUUGAACGCUGGCGGCAGGCUUAACACAUGCAAGUCGAGCGGGGGAAGGUAGCUUGCUACCGGACCUAGCGGCGGACGGGCGAGUAAUGCUUAGGAAUCUGCCUAUUAGUGGGGGACAACAUCUCGAAAGGGAUGCUAAUACCGCAUACGUCCUGCGGGAGAAAGCAGGGGAUCUUCGGACCUUGCGCUAAUAGAUGAGCCUAAGUCGGAUUAGCUAGUUGGUGGGGUAAAGGCCUACCAAGGCGACGAUCUGUAGCGGGUCUGAGAGGAUGAUCCGCCACACUGGGACUGAGACACAGCCCAGACUCCUACGGGAGGCAGCAGUGGGGAAUAUUGGACAAUGGGGGGAACCCUGAUCCAACCAUGCCGCGUGUGUGAAGAAGGCCUUAUGGUUGUAAAGCACUUUAAGCGAGGAGGAGGCUACUCUAGUUAAUACCUAGGGAUAGUGGACGUUACUCGCAGAAUAAGCACCGGCUAACUCUGUGCCAGCCGCCGCAGUAA
rnacentral:rRNA from 1 species